GCGGUCUUCUUGAUUUAUAAUUUUGGUUUUCGCGGAGGAGGUUGUCCCGGAUGAGGAAGAAAGUAAGUAUUGUAAAGAUUGAAGUUAAAGAUGCUUAAUGGAUAUGGGUUGCUUUGGUUAAAUGCGGAUAAUGGUAUUGGUAGUUCCGGAAGAAGGAGCUAGUGAUUGUUGAUUGAGGAUAGUUGAUUUAGAGUUUGAAGCGAUUUGGACGUCUUGAAGGUAAUUAGGUCAUUCCCGGGCGAAUGACGAUCUUUUGGUAUAGAAGCUUAGUUGUCCCUCAUUUCUUGGCUCAUGGUACAUUUUAGUUUGGGGUCAUGCUUAUGGGUAAAUUUCUGUAAAUGUUCCAGUUGUAAAGUUUUUGGAUAGUUGUGAAUUCAUAAUUUUGGUCAAAAAGGUGUCAAAGUGGGUAAAUGACCCGUUUGAUGGAAACCUUGAUUUUGUGUACUCGUUGAUGUUGUAAUUGUGUUUGAAAUGUGUCUUUAUAGUUGUUAGAAUA